CUACUUACCUGGCAGGGGAGAUACCAUGAUCACGAAGGUGGUUUUCCCAGAGCGAGGCUUAUCCAUUGCACUCUGGAUGUGCUGACCCCUGCGAUUUCCCUAAAUUUGGGAAACUCGACUGCAUGAUUUGUGGUAGCGGGGAACUGCAUUUAUGCUCUCCCCUG